UAUUUGUAAAUCUUUAAGUUUCUCCAUCAUAUGAAGGAUAACUUCCUAAUUAAAAAAAUAAAUAUUCAUUGUAACUUCUUUGCCACUUUUGGACUUCUUAAGCUCUUUACAGAUAGUUUGAGUGGUGAGAUCACAAGCAGAGCCUAAUUGGAACCCAGUUCCAAGUACUUUUUGGUGACAUUUGUACAUACAGCUAUUAAUCUUUCAUAUUAUUUUCAAGUUUACAUGUAAGGGCAGCUAAAUUGGCAUUCUCUCUAGACUAAGCUGUCCCUAGCUGCCAGUGAAAACUUUAGUGUUUUUAUUUAAGCCUACUGUGCUUGCUCAUUAGUUCUAGGAAUGUACAACCCUAAUAGAGAAUAUUGCAUGUGAAAGGCAAAUGUUGAGGUUUGCACUGUUAUUCUUGGAACACAUAUAAUUCCUUGAAUAUAAUUUCUG